UGUUUAUUGAAGGUUACCAAAAGAUAAAUAAUGUCAAAAUUAAGAAUCAAUUAAGCUUUCCACCACACCUUUGUCUUUGAGGGUUAACGUUUUAGUGUGAAGUUUUAGGGGUUAGUGUAUAAAUUGGUAUACUUUGAGUGUUUAGGAUUUAUAUGUUCACAUAAUGAUGUAUUCUUUGCAUUUUUUAGUUUGUAUUGAUUAUAUGAUCAUUUUAAAAUGUAGAUAUAUCAAAUACAAGUUUACACCAUCCUAAAUCAUCUCAAAAUCGAUCAACAUCCAUGCUGUUCUUACUUAGAGCCAUAUUUUUCGACAUAUCUAGUGGAGAAAACUAGAAAAAAAAUUCGACUAAUUAUAUCCAUUCGAUGGAGAUGAUUCAACGGUGGAAAUUAGUUUUUUAGGUUAUCCUCGUCCUUGUCUCUCAUUGGUCGACGAGGCUUUUCGGAGGGAAAGCCAAAAUUUCCUUAUUUUGGGAGCCAAAGUAAAUUUUAUUGUCUUUAUCGCAUUCUCUCCUACCCUCAAACCACCACAAAUCUCUCUUAAGCCACCACGAUUCUAUCUCUUAAUCCACCACGAACCUCUCCUUCCAUCUCAAACCACCACAAAUCUGUGUAAGCCACCACGAUUCCAUCUCAUACCAUCACAAAUCUCUCCAACCUUCUCCACCGCCACCAUUUAGGUUACAGAGUUCUCUGUCCUUACAGAUCCACAAAGAUUUGAAGCCUUACAGAUCUCAAAGAUAUCUCCAUUUCCAGCAAAUCUAAUGGAAGCAAGGAAGGUCAUCGUCUGUGCACUCCCGGCAGCCGGAGUGAAACCACAACUCAAACCAGAACAGACACAACAAGAAGCAGUCAACACAGCUCCACCACAACGAGGACAGUCCUCACGAGGAAAUGAUGUAGAUGAGAUAACCAGAGCCGAGUUCAGAAGCUACCGGUUGAUACGCAUUGAGGAACCUAAAGAAGACAUCGACCCAGACUACCUGCGCUAUCUCCGAGCAAUAGGUGCCUACGACUCUGCUCCACCACAACAAGGACGGUCCUCAGGAGGCAAUGGUCGUCGCUAAAACAUCGACCCAAUCUUCCUGCAACUCACAAUCCAUGGGUUCUCGUCACUACUAUAAUUACCAUUGCUUCAGUAUGUUGUAUUUGCUUAAGUAUGUUUUGUUAAUUUGCUUCAGUACAAUGUUUUUUUUUCUUGAAUGUUUGUAAUGCGUGUCUCUCUAAUCUAAAUUUGAAUUUUAAUUAUA